UACGGGGGGGGCAAGCGUUGUUCGGAAUUACUGGGCGUAAAGGGCUCGUAGGCGGCCAACUAAGUCAGACGUGAAAUCCCUCGGCUUAACCGGGGAACUGCGUCUGAUACUGGAUGGCUUGAGUUCGGGAGAGGGAUGCGGAAUUCCAGGUGUAGCGGUGAAAUGCGUAGAUAUCUGGAGGAACACCGGUGGCGAAGGCGGCAUCCUGGACCGAUACUGACGCUGAUGAGCGAAAGCCAGGGGAGCAAACAGG
rnacentral:rRNA from 1 species